rnacentral:rRNA from 1 species
GACGAACGCUGGCGGCGUGCUUAACACGUGCAAGUCGAGCGGUAAGGCCCUUUCGGGGGUACACGAGCGGCGAACGGGUGAGUAACACGUGGGUGACCUGCCCUUAGCUCUGGGAUAAGCCUGGGAAACUGGGUCUAAUACCGGAUAUGACUCCAUAACGCAUGUUGUGGGGUGGAAAGCCUUGUGCGGCUAGGGAUGGGGCCCGCGGCCUAUCAGCUUGUUGGUGGGGUGAUGGCCUACCAAGGCGACGACGGGUAGCCGGCCUGAGAGGGCGACCGGCCACACUGGGACUGAGACACGGCCCAGACUCCUACGGGAGGCAGCAGUGGGGAAUCGUUGCGCAAUGGGACGAAAGCCUGACGCAGCGACGCCGCGUGGGGAUGAC